rnacentral:sRNA from 1 species
UUCAAAUAAGAGAUGGCAGGCAAGUCUUCUCAAUUGUUCUACAUAUUUUGAUUCAUAAUAACUAU